ensembl:rRNA 5S_rRNA 5S ribosomal RNA
GUCUACGGUCAUACCACUCUGAAUGUCCCCUAUCUCUUCUGAUCUUGUCAACCUAAGCAGGGUCAGGCCUCGUUAGUACUUGGAUGGGAGACUAUGGCGAAGCUGAGCCAGGAUUUGAACCCA